GUAGGUGGCAAGCGUUGUCCGGAAUUAUUGGGCGUAAAGCGCGCGCAGGCGGUUCUUUAAGUCUGAUGUGAAAGCCCACGGCUCAACCGUGGAGGGUCAUUGGAAACUGGAGAACUUGAGUACAGAAGAGGAAAGCGGAAUUCCACGUGUAGCGGUGAAAUGCGUAGAGAUGUGGAGGAAAACCAGUAGGCGAAGGCGGCUUUCUGGUCUGUAACUGACGCUGAGGCGCGAAAGCGUGGGGAGCAAACAGGGAUUAGAUACCCUGGUAGUCCACGCCGUAAACGAUGAGUGCUAAGUGUAGGGGGUUUCCCGCCCCUUAGUGCUGCAGCUAACGCAUUAAGCACUCCGCCUGGGGAUACGGCCGCAAGGCUG
rnacentral:rRNA from 1 species